AGCGGAGUGGGGCAGUCAGGAGUGCCUGUCGGGCUCAUAACCCGAAUGAUGCUAGGAAUAGCAUUGUGGUUAAAAGGUCAAUGGUUCAAAUCCAUUCUCCGCUA
rnacentral:tRNA from 1 species